AAUGAACGCUGGCGGCAUGCCUAACACAUGCAAGUCGAACGAAGCCUUCGGGCUUAGUGGCGCACGGGUGCGUAACGCGUGGGAACCUACCAUCAGGUUCGGAAUAACAGUUAGAAAUGACUGCUAAUACCGGAUAAUGUCUUCGGACCAAAGAUUUAUCGCCUUUUGAUGGGCCCGCGUUGGAUUAGCUAGUUGGUGGGGUAAAGGCCUACCAAGGCGACGAUCCAUAGCUGGUCUGAGAGGAUGAUCAGCCACACUGGGACUGAGACACGGCCCAGACUCCUACGGGAGGCAGCAGUGGGGAAUAUUGGACAAUGGGCGAAAGCCUGAUCCAGCAAUGCCGCGUGAGUGAUGAAGGCCUUAGGGUUGUAAAGACUCUUUUACCAGGGAUGAUAAUGACAGUACCUGGAGAAUAAGCUCCGGCUAACUCCGUG
rnacentral:rRNA from 1 species